UGAAGGAGGUAAACUGGGGAUGUGUUUGGUGAGUCUGUUUGGUUCAAAGUCAGAGAGCCGUGUCUCUCUACAGUCAGAGGUUUUUGUACGGCGGCUCAAUGACUUUGUAUCACUGUGGUACACGUUCGGUGGAGGAACCAGACUGGAUGUUGGAAGUGAUGUCCGUCCCACCCUGAUGGUGCUGCCCCCCUCCGAAGAAGAGCUGCAGCAGGGGAUGGCCACGCUCAUGUGCCUGGCCAACAAGGGCUUCCCCUCAGACUGGAGUCUGGCCUGGAAGGUGGACGGCAGCAGCAGCAUCAGCUGGGAGAAGAGCAGCAGCCCCGGGGUGCUGGAGAAGGACGGCCACUACAGCUGGAGCAGCACCCUGAGGCUCCCUGCAGGCCAGUGGAGGAAGGUGGGCUCUGUGACCUGUGAGGCCACCCAGGGCUCCCAGACUGUGUUCUCAGAGACACUGAGGAGAGACCAGUGCUCCCAGUCCUGACCGGACUCACUGGGACUCUGCUACUGGUGUUACUCUGAUACUGCUCUCAGUCUGCACUCUGUUAUACUCUCUCUCUCUUAUCAGACCAAAAGAUUUAAAUUGUGAUAUUUUCUUGCUCAUAAUGACGAGUAUACUGUUAACCUUUGCAGAUAAUAAAGAUGUGUUUCUUCAAA